rnacentral:rRNA from 1 species
AUUGAACGCUGGCGGCAUGCCUAACACAUGCAAGUCGAACGGCAGCAUGAUUUGUAGCAAUACGAAUUGAUGGCGAGUGGCGGACGGGUGAGUAAUACGUAGGAAUCUGCCCUAAAGCGGGGGAUAACCCGGGGAAACCCGGGCUAAUACCGCAUACUACUCUGAGGAGGAAAGCUUGGGAAACCAGGCACUUUAGGAGGAGCCUACGACUGAUUAGCUAGUUGGUGAGGUAAAGGCUCACCAAGGCGAUGAUCGGUAGCUGGUCUGAGAGGAUGACCAGCCACACUGGGACUGAGACACGGCCCAGACUCCUACGGGUGGCAGCAGUGGGGAAUCUUGGACAAUGGGGGCAACCCUGAUCCAGCGAUGCCGCGUGUGUGAAGAAGGCCUUCGGGUUGUAAAGCACUUUAGGCGGGGAAGAAGGUAAGUAGGUGAAUAGCCUAUUUGCUUGACGGUACCCGCAGAAUAAGCACCGGCUAACUCUGUGCCAGCAGCCGCCGCGG